AAUUUAUGUUUUACUUAGUUAAUCUCUGCUUGCUUGUUUGCAUGUUCAUAUGUGAGUGUAUGAAGGGGUUCACAUUCAUGUGUGUGUGCAUGCAUUUGAAGGUCAGAGGUCUGUGCUGGAUGUCUUACUCAAUGAUGAUUCAUCUUCUUUUCGUAGACAGGCUCUUUCACUGACCCUGGAACUCACUGAUUUAGGUAGACCAGUUAACCAGCCAGCCCCAGGCAUCCUCGUGCCUCUCUACCACAGCACUGGGAAAACAGGUUGUUUUCAGUCAUGGUGUUUAUCACAGAAGCAGAAGUAGAAAGCAGCCAAGAAAAUCCCCAGCAAUGAGAUUACAAGAACAUGCGUUUCUGGUGACUUGACUGCAUCCUCCUGGCCCUCAAUCCUGCAGCAUGAAGAACUUUUAUAAGACACCCCACAAUGAUAUCAAAGGAAGGACCCCUUUGGAGAAGUCGACAUUUCCUCUCUCAUCUCUGGGUUAAUAGGAAGACCAAGAUUCAAAGCUCAAUUGUGUGACUACCACUAGCCAACACAUCAAGAGCAGGGGCCAUAGGU